CCUACGGGAGGCAGCAGUGAGGAAUAUUGGUCAAUGGACGAGAGUCUGAACCAGCCAAGUAGCGUGAAGGAUGACUGCCCUAUGGGUUGUAAACUUCUUUUAUAUGGGAAUAAAACGUUCCACGUGUGGGAUUUUGUAUGUACCAUAUGAAUAAGGAUCGGCUAACUCCGUGCCAGCAGCCGCGGUAAUACGGAAGAUCCGAGCGUUAUCCGGAUUUAUUGGGUUUAAAGGGAGCGUAGGUGGAUUGUUAAGUCAGUUGUGAAAGUUUGCGGCUCAACCGUAAAAUUGCAGUUGAAACUGGCAGUCUUGAGUACAGUAGAGGUGGGCGGAAUUCGUGGUGUAGCGGUGAAAUGCUUAGAUAUCACGAAGAACUCCGAUUGCGAAGGCAGUUCACUGGACUGCAACUGACACUGAGGCUCGAAAGUGUGGGUAUCAAACAGGAUUAGAUACCCCAGUAGUC
rnacentral:rRNA from 1 species